rnacentral:lncRNA from 1 species
UAAAAUUUAUUAAUAUGCAAGCUAGGCAAUUUUCAGUUCUAAGAUUUGGUUUUGGUUUCAUAUCAAUUCAUCCUAUCCAUAGGUUUUCCUCUCUUCUCCCCUCUGUGAUGGGCAUCUGCAUUGGACCAUAUGGUUUUGGAAACUGUUGAUUGAAACCAUUCUGUCAAGAACGGGGCUGGAAAAAGCCUACCUUGCUUUUCAUUUCUAAAAACAUUGUAGAGCCCUUCUGUUUCCAUGCGGAGGAGCAGGAAACUCGAAGUUCAGCCCAGAUGGAUCUUUUGUGCCAGGGACAAGCUUUUGCUUUCUAUGAAAGCCUGCCGAAUAUUGGCCAACUCGCCUACCUUUCACAACUUGCUCACUUCCAACAGAGAUUUGCUGGGGCUGCGAAGCCUCUUGUUACGGUGUCCUCAGGAAACCUCUCCCAGCCUCCCUAGCUGGCAUGCGUACUCAUGGCCGUAUCCUGUCACAGGUCCUGCGUGUGAUCCAGGCACUUGUGUGCGGUCACCACGGGCGGUGAGGAGAGCCAGCAGCUCAUGGGAAGGAGGCAGGAAGCUGGGCCUGUGCAGGAGCCAUCUGUGA